rnacentral:rRNA from 1 species
GACGAACGCUGGCGGCAUGCCUAAUACAUGCAAGUCGAGCGAACGGAUGAAGUGCUUGCACUUCUGACGUUAGCGGCGAACGGGUGAGUAACACGUAAGGAAUCUACCUAUAAGCGGGGGAUAACAUUCGGAAACGGGUGCUAAUACCGCAUAAUAUCUUCUUCCGCAUGGAAGAAGAUUGAAAGACGGCUCUGCUGUCACUUAUAGAUGACCUUGCGGUGCAUUAGUUAGUUGGUGGGGUAAUGGCCUACCAAGACGAUGAUGCAUAGCCGACCUGAGAGGGUGAUCGGCCAAAUUGGGACUGAGACAUGGCCCAAACUCCUACGGGAGGCAGCAGUAGGGAAUCUUCCGCAAUGGGCGAAAGCCUGACGGAGCAAUGCCGCGUGAGUGAAGAAGGCCUUCGGGUCGUAAAACUCUGUUAUAAGAGAAGAACAAAUUGUAGAGUAACUGCUACAGUCUUGACGGUAUCUUAUCAGAAAGCCACGGCUAACUACGUGCCAGCAGCCGCAGUAA